rnacentral:rRNA from 1 species
UACAGAGGUCCCAAGCGUUGUUCGGAUUCACUGGGCGUAAAGGGUGCGUAGGUGGCCGGUUAAGUCUGACGUGAAAUCUCUGAGCCCAACUCAGAAACUGCGUCGGAAACUAUCCGGCUUGAGGAUUGGAGGGGGGACUGGAAUACUUGGUGUAGCAGUGAAAUGCGUAGAUAUCAAGUGGAACACCGGUGGCGAAGGCGAGUCCCUGGACAAUUCCUGACACUGAGGCACGAAAGCUAGGGGAGCAAACAGG